CCUACGGGGGGCAGCAGUGGGGAAUAUUGGACAAUGGGGGCAACCCUGAUCCAGCCAUGCCGCGUGUGUGAAGAAGGCCCUCGGGUUGUAAAGCACUUUCAGUGAGGAAGAACGCCUGGUGGUUAAUACCCAUCAGGAAAGACAUCACUCACAGAAGAAGCACCGGCUAACUCCGUGCCAGCAGCCGCGGUAAUACGGAGGGUGCGAGCGUUAAUCGGAAUUACUGGGCGUAAAGCGCGCGUAGGUGGCUGGAUAAGCCGGUUGUGAAAGCCCCGGGCUCAACCUGGGAACGGCAUCCGGAACUGUCAAGCUAGAGUGCAGGAGAGGAAGGUAGAAUUCCCGGUGUAGCGGUGAAAUGCGUAGAGAUCGGGAGGAAUACCAGUGGCGAAGGCGGCCUUCUGGACUGACACUGACACUGAGGUGCGAAAGCGUGGGUAGCAAACAGGAUUAGAUACCCCAGUAGUC
rnacentral:rRNA from 1 species